CCUACGGGAGGCAGCAGUGAGGAAUAUUGGUCAAUGGACGAGAGUCUGAACCAGCCAAGUAGCGUGAAGGAUGACUGCCCUAUGGGUUGUAAACUUCUUUUAUAUGGGAAUAAAAUGUUCCACGUGUGGGAUUUUGUAUGUACCAUAUGAAUAAGGAUCGGCUAACUCCGUGCCAGCAGCCGCGGUAAUACGGAGGAUCCGAGCGUUAUCCGGAUUUAUUGGGUUUAAAGGGAGCGUAGGUGGGUUGUUAAGUCAGGUGUGAAAGUUUGGGGCUCAACCGUAAAAUUGCAGUUGAAACUGGCAGUCUUGAGUACAGUAGAGGUGGGCGGAAUGCGUGGUGUAGCGGUGAAAUGCUUAGAUAUCACGAAGAACUCCGAUUGCGAAGGCAGCUUACUGGAGUGGAACUGACACUGAGGCUCGAAAGUGUGGGUAUCAAACAGGAUUAGAUACCCCGGUAGUC
rnacentral:rRNA from 1 species